rnacentral:sRNA from 1 species
CCCCGUCAGUGGGAGGCUGCCUGCCUGCUGCUUCUCAGAGGAAUGAUGUGGUCUGUGCCCAUCUGCUCUGUCCUGGUCUGGGCCAAGCCAGGGGUUGGGUGUGGGGAGCCGGCAGCGCCCCCCACCAGCGGCUGUGGUCCUGGCCCCCUCAGCCUUGGCUGUUGCACGCGCUGCUCAAAUCCAGCUUGUGCUCUUUUUCUUUGGGGUCAGACCGAAACGGGGCCGUCCAGAAGAACUCUGGGGCAGGGCGGGGGGUGGCGCAAGGAUUGAGGCUAACCCUGGAAAUGCCGGCUCUCAGCUCAAGCAGGUGGGGGAAAAAAGGAGAGGGCAGGGGACCAGAAGUACAAGAGAGCCUUUUGUGCCCUCCCUGCGGGCCACCAAGAGAAACCAAGUACUGGGACAGGUAACCUAAGUAAGGGACACCUCAGCCGCCGCAGCUUUCAGAGUUCUUCCUGGGACUCCCUGGGUAGGGGCGGGCGCGGCUCACGGGAGACCCGGGAGGGAUGCCUGGGAAUGACUGCGCUUGCCUUGGGUUUUCUGUAGCGGCUUCUGCGGAUGGACCUGCCCGUCGCAGAUGACAACACCGUCCACUUCAAUUCCACCCUUAUGGCUCUGAUCCGCACAGCCCUGGACAUCAAGAUUGCCAAGGGAGGAGCCGACAAACAGCAGAUGGACGCUGAGCUGCGGAAGGAGAUGAUGGCAAUUUGGCCCAAUCUGUCCCAGAAGACGCUAGACCUGCUGGUCACACCUCACAAGUCCACAGACCUCACCGUGGGGAAGAUCUACGCAGCCAUGAUGAUCAUGGAGUACUACCGGCAGAGCAAGGCCAAGAAGCUGCAGGCCAUGCGCGAGGAGCAGGACCGGACACCCCUCAUGUUCCAGCGCAUGGAGCCCCCGUCCCCAACGCAGGAAGGGGGACCUGGCCAGAACGCCCUCCCCUCCACCCAGCUGGACCCAGGAGGAGCCCUGAUGGCUCACGAAAGCGGCCUCAAGGAGAGCCCGUCCUGGGUGACCCAGCGUGCCCAGGAGAUGUUCCAGAAGACAGGCACAUGGAGCCCGGAACGAGUCCCCCCUACCGACAUGCCCAACAGCCAGCCUAACUGUCAGUCCGUGGAGAUGCGAGAGAUGGGCAGAGAUGGCUACUCCGACAGCGAGCACUACCUCCCCAUGGAAGGCCAGGGCCGGGCUGCCUCCAUGCCCCGCCUGCCUGCAGAGAACCAGGUGAGGGCUUUCACCACUGCCCUGGGGCUGGACCUCUCACUCUGCACUGGGUGGGGCCGGGCCCCCCCAACAAGCAGCCCAGUGCAUCCCCUCCCUGCCGGACUCAGGCCUGGGUAGGGACUCCUUCGGUCUCUGAAGCAGUCUGCAGGCCCCACCCACCACCUGGUCACACCUGGAGCACCUGCAGACCCUCCUCCCUCACAGAGGACAGAGAGGAAAGUGCUCCCCCUGGGGCAGAGGGCAGUGGCCACUGCAAAAUGGUCUCUGGCUGCCCUGGUUGGAGGUUGCAGACAGGGGAGGUUGUGGAAGAUUUGUGGAUGCAGCAGGGUUCAACAGGGCCAGGUGAGACCUGCCACGAAGAUCACCCCUACACAAACACACACACACAUGCUCAACAUACAUGCACACACACGUGCAGCUGUGCGCCUACUCAGAUGCUUGCAUACACACACACGUGUGUGCACGUGGGCAUAUACACACUGCACAUGUACUCACACAUGCACACAUGUACGUGCACACGUGUCUGCAUAUGGGAACUUGGCAGGUCCUAGGAUGCAGUAGCAGAGUCUGGGGUGGGUCUGGGGGCAGCUGGGUUCGUAUUUUCUGUCUGGUCUCUGUGGGGGUCAUUGAGGGGGACAGGGGUGUGUGCUUGAUGUAUGUCUGUGUGUGGCCGCUUCACCCAGCUGCCAGGCCCACCUGCAGGUGAUCCCGUUGCCUUGGACUCAUAGGACAGAGGGCCCAGAGGCAUAGCUGGCUGCCCACCUGGCCUGAGCAGCUGGGGCCCAUGCACGCAGCCCGCCUCUGGAGGAGAACAGGGCGUGGCUGCGAGAGCCUGGCCCGGGUGCGUGGCAUGUGUGGCUGUGGCGAGCUUUCCGUGUGCCGUGUGUGGCGUCUGCACGGGGCAGGAGGCUGUGCUGUGCCUGGCUGGACCAGGGUCACCUGAGGGCCUGGCCUCUGGCUGCUGGGAACGUGGGUUGGGGAGCACCCAGCGUGCAUGCUGCUGCCCCCUCAAGACCGAGCUGCUGGGCCCCAGGAGAGGGUUGGGACAGGCCCAGCUGACAGCCACCACAUGACAGCUUUGAGCAUCAGCUGGAGCCAGGGGUUGGGGUGUGCAUCGCAUGAGGCAGAGCCCAGGGCCAGGGGCUCAAGGCUGCGCCGUCCUGUCUUUUGGUCCCAUGCCUCUGCCAUUUGUCUGUCUGUGUCUCCUGUCUAUCUCCUCUGUACCCAUGGGAAUAGAGGACACCCAGCCCCGGGGGCCUGGGACACCCACCUGCCAGGACUUUAACUUUUCCUUUCCUCCCUGCCUUCUCCUUCCGAUUUCUCUUGAUGCCAGUGCCACUCCCCUCCGCUUCUUCUCCAUGCACCACCUCCUCCUCACUCUCCCUCUUGCCUUUUAUAUUUAUUUUCUUCUUUCUGUUUUUUCUGUGUGCACCAUCCCAUGGGGCUGUGACAGAGGAGAAGGGGCCGGCCACGUGGGAAUAACCUCAGUACCAUCUCAGACACCAGCCCCAUGAAGCGUUCAGCCUCCGUGCUGGGCCCCAAGGCCCGACGCCUGGACGAUUACUCGCUGGAGCGGGUCCCGCCCGAGGAGAACCAGCGGCACCACCAGCGGCGCCGCGACCGCAGCCACCGCGCCUCUGAGCGCUCCUUGGGCCGCUACACCGACGUGGACACAGGCUUGGGGACAGACCUGAGCAUGACCACCCAAUCCGGGGACCUGCCGUCGAAGGAGCGGGACCAGGAGCGGGGCCGGCCCAAGGAUCGGAAGCAUAGACAGCACCACCACCACCACCA